rnacentral:rRNA from 1 species
UACGUAGGGUGCAAGCGUUGUCCGGAAUUAUUGGGCGUAAAGAGCUCGUAGGCGGUCUGUCGCGUCUGCUGUGAAAACUCAGGGCUUAACCCUGAGCUUGCAGUGGGUACGGCAGACUAGAGUGCGGUAGGGAGACUGGAAUUCCGUGGUGUAGCGGUGAAAUGCGCAGAUAUCGAGGAGGAACACCGGUGGCGAAGGCGGGUCUCUGGCCGUAACUGACGCUGGAGGAGCGAAAGCCAUGGGAGCGAACAGG